UACAGAGACUGCAAGCGUUAUUCGGAUUCACUGGGCGUAAAGGGUGCGCAGGCGGCCAGGUGUGUUAGGCGUGAAAGCCCGGGGCUUAACCCCGGAAUUGCACCUAAAACUACUUGGCUAGAGCAUUGGAGAGGGGAGCAGAAUUCAUGGUGUAGCAGUGAAAUGCGUAGAUAUCAUGAGGAAUACCAGAGGCGAAGGCGGCUCCCUGGACAAUUGCUGACACUCAGGCACGAAAGCGUGGGGAGCAAAAGGG
rnacentral:rRNA from 1 species